rnacentral:lncRNA from 1 species
UUUUACAUCCAUGAAUGGGGCUUUGUGACUUUUUCCAAAAAACAGACCACAAAACUGCCACUAAUGUCAUGCUUUUAAAGGAAGUUCUGAAUGAGAGCCGGUGAAGAGUGGUGGCCACACAAGCCAAUUUCCCUAGUUCUGCCAAUGCAACUCCAACGAACUCUGCAGAUUCUGGAACAGUGUCAGCAGUGGAGCUGACCUAGGUGGGAGGCUCUGAGACCGUACAUCAUCUGAUUUGGUCUAAUGGGAAGGACCGAGCGGCUAUGAUCCUGAUUUUAACAAGGAGAAAACUGAGGCUCAAACAUCUUGCUCAAGUGCACUCCGUUACCUUAAGUGUGACUAGAAGACAGGCCUUCCUCAGCCCUG